rnacentral:misc_RNA from 1 species
GAUGAAGAACGUAGCGAAAUGCGAUAAGUAAUGCGAAUUGCAGAAUUUCCGUGAGUCAUCGAAUCUUUGAACGCACAUUGCGCCCGCCAGCAUUCUGGCGGGCAUGCCUGUUCGAGCGUCAUUUCAACCCUCGAGCCCCCCCGGGGGCCUCGGUGUUGGGGGACGGCACACCAGCCGCCCCCGAAAUGCAGUGGCGACCCCGCCGCAGCCUCCCCUGCGUAGUAGCACACACCUCGCACCGGAGCGCGGAGGCGGUCACGCCGUAAAACGCCCAACUUUCUUAGAGUUGACCUCGGAUCAGGUAGGAAUACCCGCUGAACUUAAGCAUAUCAACGGAGGA